rnacentral:rRNA from 1 species
AAGCUCGUAGUUGAAUUUCGGGAUCAAAUUGUUGGUCGUGCUUCGGUACGCACUGGCAUUAUUGGUUCCUACCUUCUGAAGAACCGCGAUGUCAUUAAUUUGGUGUCGUGGGGAAUCAGGACUGUUACUUUGAAAAAAUUAGAGUGUUUAAAGCAGGCGUACGCUUGAAUACAUUAGCAUGGAAUAAUGAAAUAGGACGUUUGAUUCUAUUUUGUUGGUUUCUAGGAUCGACGUAAUGAUUAAUAGGGAUAGUUGGGGGCAUUAGUAUUCAAUUGUCAGAGGUGAAAUUCUUGGAUUUAUUGAAGACUAACUACUGCGAAAGCAUUUGCCAAGGAUGUUUUCAUUAAUCAAGAACGAAAGUUAGGGGAUCGAAGACGAUCAGAUACCGUCGUAGUCUUAACCAUAAACUAUGCCGACUAGGGAUCGGAUGAUGUUAAUUUUUUAAUGACUCAUUCGGCACCUU